rnacentral:rRNA from 1 species
AUUGAACGCUGGCGGCAUGCUUUACACAUGCAAGUCGAACGGUAGAGGGGCAGCCCUUGAGAGUGGCGAACGGGUGAGUAAUGCAUCGGAACGUGCCCAGUAGUGGGGGAUAGCCCGGCGAAAGCCGGAUUAAUACCGCAUGAGACCUGAGGGUGAAAGCGGGGGAUCGCAAGACCUCGCGCUAUUGGAGCGGCCGAUGUCAGAUUAGCUAGUUGGUGGGGUAAAGGCCUACCAAGGCGACGAUCUGUAGCUGGUCUGAGAGGACGACCAGCCGGACGGGGACUGGGAGACGGCCCAGACUCCUACGGGAGGCAGCAGUGGGGAAUUUUGGACAAUGGGCGCAAGCCUGAUCCAGCCAUGCCGCGUGCGGGAAGAAGGCCUUCGGGUUGUAAACCGCUUUUGUCAGGGAAGAAAUCUUCUGGGCUAAUACCCUGGGAGGAUGACGGUACCUGAAGAAUAAGCACCGGCUAACUACGUGCCAGCCGCCGCCGUAA